rnacentral:lncRNA from 1 species
GCGCUAGCAAAGCAGGGGUAACCAAGGAAGCUAUGAUGUCUGGAAUUGUAAUAACAGAGGACAAGCUAAGAGUUAUACGAGAUCUAAAAAUAAGUCACUAACCAUAUCCUAUUUCCUCUAACAUACAUAUGCAGGUACCUAGGAGAGAAAACUGCCCACAGUGCAAAAGAAUCAAUAAAGAACACUGUGAUGAACCACAGCCCACCCUAACCCAAAAAGAUAGCUUUGCCCUCACAGUGAACAGUCUUUUAAGCAAUGAGGCUAUUUCACUGCAAGCUAUUCAUAAUUCGUCAUUAUUGUACUUGAAGAUGUAGAAACACCAAGGGUCUUCACAUCAGCCAUUGCCGUAAUUAGAAAGGAACAUCACAUCAUAUCCAUGGCAUUUGCUACCCUUUGUAUAAACAGGGCAAGGCCUAAACCGAGAUGUCCUGAAGAUUUACAGAUGGGUUCAAACACUUUCAUUGCAAUUUGUAGUUCAUUGUGUUUGAAGCAACACCCAGCUGACUGCAAAGUAAAGGAUGUACUCCACCAUCAGAAGAGCUGCAAAUUUUCAUUGAAGUUGCCACAGGAUACACCAUCAAGCUGGAUUUAGAAAAGACAGAGGAACCAUAGAUCAAAUUGCCAACAUCUGCUGCAUCAUCGAAAAAGCAAGAGAGUCCCCCC